rnacentral:lncRNA from 1 species
GGAGCACAGAGACCUCUGUGCUCGUAAGCCAUUUUCGAUGAUGAAAUUUUUGAAUCGACGAUCAACUCCAUUAGAUUUGAUUUACCAUAUUUAAAUUAUUUAGAAAAUAAAUUUUGUGAUUUUUCGAUAUUAUUUACCUAACGAUCAAAAGAGUUCAAAAUCACUGGCUAAAAAUAAAAAUCUCACAAAAAUAGUGAUAUAACUAAAAUUUUAGAUCAAAGAUAUUAAUCUUGCAGUAAAUAGUAUAAAAAAAUUUUCUAUCAAAAUUUCAUCUAAUUUAAAUACUUCUACACCGUUAAACUUACAAAUGAUAUAUAUCAAUUAUUAAAAAUUAUUAUUUUUAAACCCUUUAGAUAAGUAGGAUAAUGAUAUCGAAAAAUUACAAAUUUUUUUUCUU